ensembl:snRNA U6 U6 spliceosomal RNA
GUGCUCACUUUGGCAGCACAUACACUAAAAUUGGAACGAUAUAGAGAAGAUUAGCAUGGCCCCUGAGCAAGGAUGACACACAAAUUCGUAAAGCAUUCCGCAUUUUA